CAUGGUGGGCNCUCUAAGGAGACUGCCGGUGACAAACCGGAGGAAGGUGGGGAUGACGUCAAGUCAUCAUGGCCCUUACGGCCUGGGNUACACACGUGCUACAAUGGUCGGUACAGAGGGUUGCCAAGCCGCGAGGUGGAGCUAAUCCCAUAAAACCGAUCGUAGUCCGGAUCGCAGUCUGCAACUCGACUGCGUGAAGUCGGAAUCGCUAGUAAUCGCGAAUCAGAAUGUCGCGGUGAAUACGUUCCCGGGCCUUGUCACACCGCCCGUCACACCAUGGGAGUGGGUUGCACCAGAAGUAGCUAGUCUAACCUUCGGGAGGACGGUUACCACGGUGUGAUUCAUGA
rnacentral:rRNA from 1 species